rnacentral:rRNA from 1 species
UACAGAGGUCCCAAGCGUUGUUCGGAUUCACUGGGCGUAAAGGGUGCGUAGGCGGUCGGGUAAGUCUGACGUGAAAUCUCCGAGCCUAACUCGGAAACUGCGUCGGAUACUAUUCGGCUAGAGGAAUGGAGGGGAGACUGGAAUACUUGGUGUAGCAGUGAAAUGCGUAGAUAUCAAGUGGAACACCAGUGGCGAAGGCGAGUCUCUGGACAUUUCCUGACGCUGAGGCACGAAGGUCAGGGGAGCAAACGGG